rnacentral:rRNA from 1 species
AUAAGAAGUCGUACCUGCCCAGUGAAGUUUUAACGGCCGCGGUAUCCUGACUGUGCAAAGGUAGCAUAAUAAUUUGCCUUAUAAUUGAAGGCUGGAAUGAAUGGUUUGACAUGGGUUUAUCUGUCUCUAUGGAAUUUUUUAGAAUUUUAUUUUUAGGUGAAAAAGCCUGAUUUUUAUUAAAAGACAAGAAGACCCUAUCGAGCUUUAAAUAAGUUGGUAAAAUCUGAUAUUUGUAUAAUAAUUAAGUUACUAAAAAUUUUGGUUGGGGCAACCUAGGAACAUUAAAAGCUUCCUAUCAAUUUAUAAACAUUUAGUUAUGAUCCAAAAAUUUUGAUUAAAAGAAUUAGUUACCGUAGGGAUAACAGCAUUAUUUUUUUUGAGAGCUCUUAUCGAAAAAAAAGUUUGUGACCUCGAUKUUGGACCAGAAUAUCCUAAAGAUGCARAAGUCUUUAAGGGUUGGUCUGUUCGACCAUUAAAAUUCUA